UACGAAGGGGGCUAGCGUUGCUCGGAAUCACUGGGCGUAAAGGGCGCGUAGGCGGCUUGAUAAGCGUGCGGUGAAAGCCCGGGGCUCAACCCCGGGUCGGCCGUGCGAACUGUCGAGCUGGAGCACUGUAGAGGCAGGUGGAAUUCCGGGUGUAGCGGUGAAAUGCGUAGAUAUCUGGAGGAACACCGGUGGCGAAGGCGGCAUCCUGGACCGGCAUUGACGCUGAGGAGCGAAAGCCAGGGGAGCAAACGGGG
rnacentral:rRNA from 1 species